CAACAGUGCUGAGGUCAUCAGGAAACCCUGCUCCUUUAGGAUUGCAUCCAAUCCUGAGCAACAGAAAAAUCCUACUGCUGCAGUAACUUAAAUAAUUAAGAAGUGUGUCUUAAUUAUUAAGACACACUUAAUAUAAGACACACUUAAUUAUAAGAAGUAUAGUGGUUGCCAGGCCAGAGCUUAUGUUGCAGUCAGUGAUGUCAUCAAAGGCCCAGGAGCCCCAGAAAAACUCUUAGAAGAUGCACAUUUCAACUGGGCACAUUACCAAAGUCAAACUGAGCUCGCUAGUAGGAAAACAGAGUCAUGGAUAUUGCAUAGGCCAAUGGCAGGGUCAGUCACAGAUACCCUUUCCCUUUGCUGUGAUGCCUCUGCCUCUAGCCUGCCUUAACUACCCAGCAAAGCUCUAUCCAGCCACUUUCUACCCAAAUUUGGCUCUUCAUUGGAGUCUUCCAGGCUAUUCCCAGGCCACACUGAUUUCCCUGAGCUAGAUUUCAGUCUUUGGGGGCAAGGAGAACCGCAGGGCCAGAAAGGAGGCCCUAAGGGACAGAAAUAGAGCUUUUGCCGCAAGAGCAGUAGUCGAUGAAUUGGACUUGUUUCUUUGCAGGGAGAUGGAAAGGUUAUAGUAAGAUGGCAUGGACAUCUGUGAACAGAAUAAAGAGAUGCCAGUGAGGAGAAGUAAACUCAGAUUUUUUUUUUUAGUUGGGCAAGCUUAGUUACUUCUUAAAGUAAAAUCUCAAGUAAAAUCAAUAGCAAAUUCAAAAAUAUAAUGUAAGGAUUUUAUAAAGGGUUUCUGGCAACGAUUACAUAAUAAACCAGUGGGUGGGAAAGAAAACAUAAAAAGUAACGCCAGCUUGCCUAUUAUUACUAAUAGGCAAGGCUAUUAAUAAAUAGCUAGCUUAUUAUUAUUAUUGCAAUACUGCUAGCAAUAAAGAUGACAAAAAUCAUAAUCAUAAGGUGAAGGCUUUGAGUCAAUCUCCAGUCCACUGGAGCCCACUGCAAAGAAGGAUACCGAGGUGUCAUCUGAGCUUGGGAGGAGAGUAGGGUGAUAUUUUACUGAUUAGUAAUUGGUAGAAUCUUCCAAGGAUGUGGAAGGGGAAAUAGUGUUGAGUGAGACAUAUAUCUUCCUAGCCAUGACUUUGUCUAUAAAUCCAGAUAACAGGUUGGCCACAGAGACAUUGGUCAUGAAAAAGUGGGCCAUACAGUGGUCUCCUUAUGACAAUGUGUGGACUCUCCCUGAAAUUACCAAAGAAGUUCCCAAGACUUGGCUUUUCCUGCCAGUCCAGAGAAAGUUGAUGAGAUUAUAUCUUAAGUGUUCUUUACAUCAUUCUUGCACUGAUCAUUCAUACAUUUGCUGGUGGCUUCCAGCAACAGCUGCUUCCAUAGGACCCCAUCAUCCUAAAAUGGCUCAUUAUGCCAGCCUAAUGAACCAGUCCUCUAAAUCAGAAGUCCUUUGAUCUAUUUAAAAAUGGAACCCUGGCAGUCCCCAAAAAAUCCUGCUAAGCAAUUCUUAGAAGACUGCUUAGUAGGGGAUAGAUCAGGAUUUACUGAGCUCUAAAAUGACCUCCCUAAUAAUUUGGUAGUGUUUUAUUUCUUUUUCUUUUACACUUCUGUUCUGAUUUCCCUUGAAACAAUAUCUCUCAGAAAACCCUAUAAGACUGAAACAUUUAUCCUGUUUUUAAACACUUGGACUCUCCCUGAGAAUUGCACUCUGUUGGUAAGGAAUGCUGCUUAAUUCUGUGUUCUAAACAGCCCCUCAAUAACAGUGGAAGCGCUCAGUAAAUACUUAGUAAUCAAUUUCAGUUACAUUUGCUCAGAAUGAUCAAAAUGGCAUGGCUGUACUAUUGCACAUGCAUUAAGUGACAUUAGAGUGAUAUCUUUUAAACCUAUUUUCAAACGUAUUUAGAGUUUCCUUGCCAGUGUGUUUGAUAUAACAGGGCAUGUGUUUUGAAAGAGGCUGAAGGAGAAAAAGGGAUCUGUGCAUAAUGACCAUAAGCGUAUCCUCCGGUUGCUUUCCUGUUUCAGGGGCAUGUAGGAUGUACUUAAAAGGUCACUGAUUAGUCCAGUUCCAUAUCAGUAAACAGUGUUUUGAAACAGACAGAGGAAAAUAAUAGGCAAUGGAGUUUUACCAAUAUAAUAAAGUAAAAAGCAGGGAAACAUGGUUUAUAGAUUUCUCCAGAGGGAUGCUUUCAAAUAUGACAGAAUGGCACCUGAAUAGCACACUGUGGACAUAUUUCACCGGUCUUUGAUCAGACUUGAUAUCUAGAUUGGAUUUUUAUUCUGCAUUAAAAUGUAGAUUGAUCUGGCAAAAUCUGAUACAAAAUUGCACAGGAAAGGAUGUUAAGCUGAAGACAGUGUAGAGUCUUGCUCAAUGGGUUUGGGAAAUCCAGCCCAUAGAUUUGCCUAUCAUCCACGACUGCCUUGGUAGCUCAUCUAAAUUUGAAUGGGUCUAUGCACUGCCACCCCUACUUUUUUGCUCUUUUUUCCAUCUUGCACCCAACUGACAUGAGUCAAAGGCCUUCAGUGUAUCCCUUGGCAAAUUCAGGUGGUUUUCCACCCAAUAGCCAUUCUAUCUUGCUAAGCAAACUGCGAUGUUGUUUAGGUGUCAGUUGACCAUGUGUCUCAGAGACACCUGGAUUUCACCCACCAUCCCUCCUCCUCUCACCCAGAGGAAGAUUCUUGACAGGUCUAAGCCCAUCACGGAUAGUUCCAGUCUCCUUCACUUUGGUUGGUUUAAAUAUGGGCAUGCGGCACAAUUCUGGUCAGUGAAAUAUGAGAUGAAGUCUGUGGGGAGUGCCUAAAAAUAUUCCCCUUGCUUUUAAAAAGUUCACAAAACCCAUCCUUGUCUUUUUUGGACAUUGAUGUCUACAUCAAUGGGAGCAUCCAUCUUGGAGCCAUGAGAGCUGCUGGCCGAUGGAGGAAAGCCAACACACUGAGGUAGCAGAGCAGAAGGAAGAAAAGAAAUGGAAUCCUUUAUUACACCAUUGAGAUGCUGAGUUCACCCAACCUGCCCACUAAAGGAAGAAGCAAAGAAGUCUAAGUUCUUUGGAGUAAGAUGCUCUCAAAUGCCUAGGAACACUGAUCUCCUAACUUGUCUUCCUGCUUUGAGUGUCCCUCUGAGGUUAAAGUUCCUGCCUCAGUCUCCAACAAUGGUAAGUACAAAAUCAAUGUUAGUUCCUGACCGCUCCCCCUCUCUGUGUAUUGGUCAAUCACUGUCUGAUCAUACUGUACUGAAAUUAAUUCUUGGAAUGUCUGUCUUCCCCUAGACUAUAAGCCUCUCUGGGCAAGAUCCACGUCUUACUCAUUUUUGUGUCUGCAGUUUAGUUCCUGGUUCAUUGUAGGUUCUCAAUAAACGUUUGUUAGAAUGAGUUGAUCUCUUGGAUCCAGUGCCCCAGAAAGAUAUGUAAGUACUAUUUUUAUCCUUUCCCAUUGUGUGUCCACCUUCUCUCCAAUCCUAGAUCACCAAAAGUGAAGCAGAAGUGAUGAGAGUAGCAAUUUGUAGUAUCAAAACGACUUCUUAUAGUGCACAGAAAGCCCAGCACUGUCUCGUAUGGGAGACUCGUGGUUCUGCCACUGUCUUGCUGGGUGACCUGAGAUAACUUCUUUUCUCUCUGGGUCUGAUUCCUCACAGGUCAUUUCCACUGCUGCCCACUGAGGAGUGCCACUGGAGAUGAUCUCACAACAAAGAGAGGGGGAGAGGUCAGGAACUAACAUCUAUUUUGUAGUUACCACUGUGGUAUGGUUUGCAACAUGGCUCUGUAACCCUCAGGAUCCCUACCAGAUAUUUUCAUCUAUUCCCUUAUUCUCCUCAGGUCCCUGGCCCUCCCCUUUCCUCUGUGCUCUCAGCAGCUGACCUUGUCUUUUCCUUUACUGAGAGUAGAGGCACCUCUUACAAAUACUCUGGCCUCUGCCUGGACUGACUGGGCUAAAUUGUCUCCGAAGAUGGCCACCAACCAUUCCUCCCACCUGUCUGCAUGCAGGCUGCUCCUCCCGUCAGAAGAUGGAGACUGCUUCCUUGCCCUUCAAUCCAAGCUGGCUCAUGACUUGCUUCAAUGAAUAGGAAAUGGCAGAAGUGAUGCUCUGAGGCUUCUGGGCCUAGACUUUAAGAGGUGUUGCCCCUUUCCUUUUUCCCUCUUGGGAUCCAGCCUACCACAUAGAGAAGUUUGGGUUGACAACUAAAUGUGAGAGAGAGACAGACAGAGAGAAGAGGGAGAGCUGAUUCAGCUAGACCUUAGUCAUUCCAGCCAUCCUAGCUGAAGCACUAGCAUGUGAAAGAAGCCACCUUCUAACCUAUCAAUCAGAGCCCCCAAUUUUACUGACCUCAGUCAACACCAUGUGGAACAGAACUACCCCAGGGAGCCCAACCAACCCAUACAAUCAUGAGAAAUUAAAAACUGAUGUUGUAGCCUCCUGAGUUUUAAGGUAGUUUGUUACACAAAAAUACUGGAAUUUUGACCCACCUUCACCUCCAAUGCCAACCUAGUAAACCUGGAUAUAUCUUUCAAAA